rnacentral:rRNA from 2 species
GAUGGCUUCGGCUAUCACUUUUGGAUGGUCCCGCGGCGUAUUAGCUAGAUGGUGGGGUAACGGCUCACCAUGGCAAUGAUACGUAGCCGACCUGAGAGGGUAAUCGGCCACAUUGGGACUGAGACACGGCCCAAACUCCUACGGGAGGCAGCAGUAGGGAAUCUUCCACAAUGGACGAAAGUCUGAUGGAGCAACGCCGCGUGAGUGAAGAAGGGUUUCGGCUCGUAAAACUCUGUUGUUAAAGAAGAACAUAUCUGAGAGUAACUGUUCAGGUAUUGACGGUAUUUAACCAGAAAGCCACGGCUAACUACGUGCCAGCAGCCGCGGUAAUACGUAGGUGGCAAGCGUUGUCCGGAUUUAUUGGGCGUAAAGCGAGCGCAGGCGGUUUUUUAAGUCUGAUGUGAAAGCCUUCGGCUCAACCGAAGAAGUGCAUCGGAAACUGGGAAACUUGAGUGCAGAAGAGGACAGUGGAACUCCAUGUGUAGCGGUGAAAUGCGUAGAUAUAUGGAAGAACACCAGUGGCGAAGGCGGCUGUCUGGUCUGUAACUGACGCUGAGGCUCGAAAGUAUGGGUAGCAAACAGGAUUAGAUACCCUGGUAGUCCAUACCGUAAACGAUGAAUGCUAAGUGUUGGAGGGUUUCCGCCCUUCAGUGCUGCAGCUAACGCAUUAAGCAUUCCGCCUGGGGAGUACGGCCGCAAGGCUGAAACUCAAAGGAAUUGACGGGGGCCCGCACAAGCGGUGGAGCAUGUGGUUUAAUUCGAAGCUACGCGAAGAACCUUUACCAGGUCUUGACAUACUAUGCAAAUCCUAGAAAAUUAGACGUU